UACGAAGGGGGCUAGCGUUGCUCGGAAUCACUGGGCGUAAAGCGCACGUAUGCGGCCAACUAAGUCGGAUGUGAAAUCCCCAGGCUUAACCUGGGAACUGCAUCCGAUACUGGAUGGCUUGAAUCCGGGAGAGGGAUGCAGAAUUCCAGGUGUAGCGGUGAAAUGCGUAGAUAUCUGGAGGAAUACCGGUGGCGAAGGCGGCAUCCUGGACCGGCAUUGACGCUGAGGAGCGAAAGCUAGGGGAGCAAACGGG
rnacentral:rRNA from 1 species